rnacentral:rRNA from 1 species
ACACAUGCAAGUCGAGCGGAAACGGCAGCAUUGAAGCUUCGGUGGAUUUGCUGGACGUCGAGCGGCGGACGGGUGAGUAACGGCUGGGAACCUGCCCUGACGCGGGGGAUAACCGUUGGAAACGACGGCUAAUACCGCAUAAUGUCUUAGUACAUUACGAGCUGGGACCAUAGGUGGCCUCUACAUGUAAGCUAUCGCGUUGGGAUGGGCCCAGUUAGGAUGAGCUAGUUGGUAAGGUAAUGGCUUACCAAGGCGACGAUCCUUAGCUGGUUUGAGAGGAUGAUCAGCCACACUGGGACUGAGACACGGGCCAGACUCCUACGGGAGGCAGCAGUGGGGAAUAUUGCACAAUGGGGGAGACCCUGAUGCAGCCAUGCCGCGUGUGUGAAGAAGGCCUUCGGGUUGUAAAGCACUUUCAGCAGUGAGGAAGGUGGUGUACUUAAUAAGUGCAUGGCUUGACGUUAGCUGCAGAAGAAGCACCGGCUAACUCCGUGCCAGCAGCCGCGGUAAUACGGAGGGUGCGAGCGUUAAUCGGAAUUACUGGGCGUAAAGCGCAUGCAGGCGGUUUGUUAAGUCAGAUGUGAAAGCCCGGGGCUCAACCUCGGAACCGCAUUUGAAACUGGCAGGCUAGAGUCUUGUAGAGGGGGGUAGAAUUUCAGGUGUAGCGGUGAAAUGCGUAGAGAUCUGAAGGAAUACCAGUGGCGAAGGCGGCCCCCUGGACAAAGACUGACGCUCAGAUGCGAAAGCGUGGGUAGCAAACAGGAUUAGAUACCCUGGUAGUCCACGCCGUAAACGCUGUCUACUUGGAGGUUGAGGUUUUAGACUUUGGCUUUCGGCGCUAACGCAUUAAGUAGACCGCCUGGGGAGUACGGCCGCAAGGUUAAAACUCAAAUGAAUUGACGGGGGCCCGCACAAGCGGUGGAGCAUGUGGUUUAAUUCGAUGCAACGCGAAGAACCUUACCUACUCUUGACAUCCAGCGAAUCCUUUAGAGAUAGAGGAGUGCCUUCGGGAGCGCUGAGACAGGUGCUGCAUGGCUGUCGUCAGCUCGUGUUGUGAAAUGUUGGGUUAAGUCCCGCAACGAGCGCAACCCUUAUCCUUGUUUGCCAGCACGUAAUGGUGGGAACUCCAGGGAGACUGCCGGUGAUAAACCGGAGGAAGGUGGGGACGACGUCAAGUCAUCAUGGCCCUUACGAGUAGGGCUACACACGUGCUACAAUGGCAGAUACAGAGGGCAGCGAAGCUGCGAAGUGGAGCGAAUCCCUUAAAGUCUGUCGUAGUCCGGAUUGGAGUCUGCAACUCGACUCCAUGAAGUCGGAAUCGCUAGUAAUCGUGGAUCAGAAUGCCACGGUGAAUACGUUCCCGGGCCUUGUACACACCGCCCGUCACACCAUGGGAGUGGGCUGCACCAGAAGUAGAUAGCUUAACCUUCGGGAGGGCGUUUACCA